GUACGGAGAUCCAAGCGUUAUCCGGAAUCAUUGGGUUUAAAGGGUCCGUAGGCGGUUUGGUAAGUCAGUGGUGAAAGCCCAUCGCUCAACGGUGGAACGGCCAUUGAUACUGCUAGACUUGAAUUAUUAGGAAGUAACUAGAAUAUGUAGUGUAGCGGUGAAAUGCUUAGAGAUUACAUGGAAUACCAAUUGCGAAGGCAGGUUACUACUAAUGGAUUGACGCUGAUGGACGAAAGCGUGGGUAGCGAACAGG
rnacentral:rRNA from 1 species